rnacentral:rRNA from 1 species
AUGAUCAUCCAUAGGCUUGCGGAUCUAAUUACAUCGGAAAAGCCGAUUCCGGUAACAAGCAUUGGGGACAAGGCUUUGUUCCUUAACAAUGUGAGGAGCCUUUCUGUUUCCUCCAAUGGGGCAUUGCCCACUGUUGUCAGCAACACCAUUGUUCAGGCCAGCCUGGCAAAUGGGUCACUUACCGAGUACAACCUUAGUACUGACGCUUGGUCACGGCCGAUGGAUGGUUGCAUCUUACAUGGCCCCGUAUUUGGACCCUGUUGCCUUAUCUACCAUAUCUGCACCUGUUGCAUUCGUGAAUACUGGAACAAAGGACAACUGUGCAACCGGAAUAAACCUUGCAGGUGGCGAGUGAAGGGAAAGUGGCGCAUAGGGGUAUAG